ensembl:lncRNA
UGUUUUCACUCUUGCAGAACGUUCUCGUGUGCCCAGGGACACUCCUGUCCUGUGCGGCUUCCAGGAGGAGCCGAGUUUCCAGCUCUGCCCUCUAGAGCAGCACACUUGUCUGCUGCAGUCCUGGGGUUGGAUACAGACCCUCCCUCUGAGGGACAGCUCCUCCUCCCUCAGGCUUGAGGCAGAGUGACGGCGGCCCAGCUGCGCCCGAUGAGGAUGUCUGAGCAGGCUCCCAGGCGGGUCCUCCCAGAGUGAGGAGCUGUCCUGACCCAGUGGAGACCCCCGCGGAGGACGAGGAUCCAAACGAAAUAAAGCCGUGUGAACAUCAGACACGAGACGUCACUACUGGAACGGAGAGCGGAGAAGAGCAGCGACCCCUUGGAGCUGGCAGCACCCUGUUUACCUCGAGGAAGCUGCGGCGCAGGAACGGGGCGCCGGGCAGUGAGCGAGCAGCGCCCGGGCUGGAGGCUCGUCUUCUAAAUGCCAGGCCCCGCCGGGCUCGGGCCGUCCCGUCCACAGGUGCCCUGGGCGUCCCUGCCGCCUCCCACCUCUCGUGACCACGGGUCCUGAGCCUGCCCGCAGUCCCGGCCUGGACACCGGACUCACGGGAGCCAGAGGCUCUGCGCCCCGAGGCGGUCUGGACCCCUUUAACCCUGGGCGAGCUGUCUACCCCCAAUCCCACCCGUUAUUCUUUCUGUAACACUUACUGGGCCCGUCUGUGCCGGGGUGUUUUCAGUUCAGUCGCUCAGUCGUGUCCGACUCUUUGUGACCCCAGGGACUGCAGCACGCCAGGCCUCCCUGUCCAUCACCAACUCCCGGAGCUUGCUCAAACUCAUGUCCAUUGAGUCGGUGAUAUCACUGAGUCAGUGAUACCAUUGAGUCAGUGAUACCUCAUCCUCUGUCAUCCCCUUCUCCUCCUGCCUUCAAUCUUUCCCAGGGGUGUUUACAGUCUUGCAAAACCAGCUGACAGGGUGACCUGGGCAGCCCCGGGCAGGUUUGCACCUACAGGAGAGCAGGACGUGAGGUGCACGGGCUGUUGUCAGUGAAGCAAAGAGCCCCCACCCUGGACUCUGGGCAUCCAUGCAGCCGCCUGGUUUCAUGGCAUGUCCUAGCAACCCUGUGGCUCCCUGGAGGAGGUGUGAGAGAACUGGCUGACUGCGAGAGGCCGUGGGUUGAGGCACGGGCAAGUCACCAGUGCCGGUAAGACCAGGCCCCAGUGUGGACAGCUUCCUGACCCCAGGCCCCUCCAGGCACCUGGCUCCAGACCAGGCAGGGGAAUGGGGUCCCUGAGCCCCCGCCACCCCUCACUGCCCUCCUGUGGCCGCACUGCCCUGCAGGAGUCCCUGCUGGGUGAACCCAGGACGCUGUAGCUGAACCUCCCCAGGGAAACGAUCCUGGUUCUGAAGGUAAGACCCAAAGGACUGCCUACCUGCCCAGGUGAGACCAGGGACAGGAACAGCUCCUCCAAGGCAGAGACUGCAUCUGUACUGCAGCCUGUGUUUUGGCCCCGGAUUGUAGGCUGUGAACAAACCAGCCAGGAAGCCAGGAGUAGAGGUGAAUGAUGCCGCUGGCAUCACAUUUGGAAAGAAAAGCAAAGUUGGACAGAAUUUAACUAAUUUCCUCACCGUGAAUCAACAUAUUACUUUGUGCGUGUACACCCAACCAGCAUCCUCCCCUAUGUAAAUAGUUGUUUUAUUAGAUUAUUUAAAACACAACAGUGUUUGUCAUUAGCUUCUCCAUGAAUCAUCUGAAUCAUGGUUUGUGGUUACUGAACUAAAAUUCAACCUUGAAGCGUGUUGUGAUAUAUUUUUGCAAUAAAAAUAUCAAGUUCAUUUAAACA